rnacentral:lncRNA from 1 species
UUCCUUUUUCAUCCUAAGUCUCACAUAUCCUUCCUUCCCUGUAAAUGUUGACUUGGCUUUGAAUAAAACAAAACUCGUUCCCUCUAAGAGGAAUACGUUGUGAGACACACACACACACACACACACGCAGGCACACACACACACACACACACGUUCAGCUCUGAGAGAGACAGCCUCGGGUCGCGCUGGUGUUUAGUCGAUCGAAACGCUAUUCCUCAAAGAGACUGUGACUCGCGCCAGUUUACGUAGGCUGAGCCCUCCACCCAUCAGACCGACUGGCUUGCGAGCGAGCGAGCCAAGCGUUGGAAUUUCUCCUUGUGCUGUCAGUCGAUGUUGUGAGCCGGGACAGUGUAGCGCCUCCAGGACCCUACCCGCGCAGUAUCGCGCAUAUCACCUAAUUCCGGGAGCCUGUAGCCGUCUGCAGGUUUCUCUGGGUGGGAUGGCAGGCGCAAAGUGCCUUCUCCGGACCCCGAGCAACUUCCAGUCAUCGGCCAUGUUUGAUGUUACCGAGACGACAACGGACGCAGAGGGUGGGAGUUCAGAGAGCACUUUGGGCUCGUCCGUCACGGCCUGCAAGAAGGUACACAACUCAGUGUGUGUGUGUGUGUGUGUGUGUGACUGAUGUUUGCAUGAAUUAAUAGUGAGAUGGAUUAUUUGCCUUUCAUAAACUUAACAACAGGGCAGUAUAAAGAAAUGGAAAGAGUGAGAGACACACACAGUACAAGAGAGAGAUGGAGAGAAAGUGUGACAUGGAGAGAGUGAAAGACACAGAGAGAGCGAGAGAGGGCGACAGUGCU